rnacentral:lncRNA from 1 species
CUUACUGCACAAAGGGGACUGUGAAGAGACACAGACAUUUUACAUAUAUUGAAUUAAGAGUAGCUGAUGCUUUUGCAGCGGCUAAUGGGAAUGCUAACAAAUAUCAAAUAUCAAAUACAAGACAGAUAGGCCCUUAUUUCAUCAGUCAAAAACAGGGUGUCUUGUCCUGUUCCUGAAAUCUGCUCCUGCAUUCAUCCCAGUCAUCAGCAAGAGAGCAUUGAGGGGAAGCCCAUCCUUCAGCCAGACAAACACCAGCAGGUCAUGAUCUCUCACCGACACUUCAGGUGAGGGGAUUAUGUCACACCUCAGACACUCCAAAGGAACACAGGUAGAACGGACACUACCUUCAGUGAGAGAGAGAGCAAGGUAAGAGAGAUAGAGAGAGAAUAGUGA